UGACUUUGGUUUCAUUUUCAAUGUGCAC
rnacentral:piRNA from 1 species